UUUUUUACUUCUGUUCAGUCACAACCCUUGUCCUUGUCAAAAAUCAGAAAGUCUUGAAAGUGUAUUUUAAUUUUUAGUGGAAAAUUUCUUCAAUAGGAAGUGGCAGACCUGGAUUAUCCAACAUAUUAAAUACUUUUCUCAAAGUACCAAUUUAUACAGUCGUGAGAGGUUUGAAAAUGGUUCGUACCUACUACAGAAAGACUGAAAAGGUGCCUAGAGAAA